rnacentral:misc_RNA from 1 species
GAGCGUUCUUCCGCAUAUAUUCCGAGGUGGCGCAAAACACGAGAAGCGACCUCUUGCUUCGUGCGGCGCAUGUGUGCGUCCUGGCUUCGAGCCGUGCUCACUCCGUCAUCUUGGUGCUUUCAGCUUCUUCACGCUGACAAGCAACCUUAUCUUCCUCCCUUUGGGCUCUGUCAUCCCUCUUUGGUCACGAAACUGCGACAGGCAGGCUAUGGUUCUUUUUUUUUGUGUUGAAAAGCCGGCUCGCAAGGACGGAGGCAAGGGAGACCGGAGGGCGGAGGCAAAGGAUGAGGAGACUUACACGUGGUCGACCUUUGAGAAUCGCAUCGCCGUUAUCUACGAGGCUCGAAAGGGAGCGCAGCCUUCCGCAGAGGAAAUCGAGUCGCAGCUUCGAGUGGCCCAGUACCCUCUAACGCCCCGGUUCUUUGCUACCCCCUUGGAUGGCAUUGUGGACGGAGGCGAUGAGCAAGAGGCGACGGCACUGCAGUGGGUGUUUGAGGACAUCAUGCAGUGUGUUCAGCGAAGAGAGAACAUCACUCUUGUCCACCGAGGCGUCCACGUCGAGGCGCAUCUCGAGCCCAUCCUGGUCGCCUUUCUUCAGGCAGUCCGAUCGUCAGCGGAGUACGGAAUGCAAGUUGCCGCGGAUGAAAUCGCGAAGGAGAAGCAAAUGCAGCGACUUCUGCAGAUGAACGUGAACGCCGUCGAGGUGGAUGCGACGGAGGCACGCGGCAUAAAGGUGCACGAGCGCGACAUCGCGAGGCAGGGCGGAGGCAGCGUGCAGCUGUCAAAGGAGCUGCGUAAGAAGAUCGCCAAGCUGCGACAGGAAUACCACUAUGUGCACCCCGCUGACAGGCAGGCAGCUGCAGUGAACCGCUACGGGCUCAUCACAGCCGCUCACAAUGACCUCCUGAAGCCGCCUCACAUCGACUCGUCUUUACUGAUGCCGCAGGCGUUCGCGGCGUCUCCCCCGGCGAGCCGCGCUACCCGGGCAUCUAUGGCUGCCUCACUAAUGGCGGCCAAGAACGCACGUAGCCACACUGCCAUCUUCAAUCAGUUGCAGCGCCGCAAUACUGCAGGGCUGCUGUCAGAGCUGCGGGAGCAGGAGUCGGGCGGCGACUGUGAGCCCAUUCGCGGAAAUGGCUGGGGCGACAAGAUCACUCUCUACACCUUCGACGGCGUGUCGUCCGUGAUGGCGCUGCCCGGAAUUCCCAACUUCGACGAGGUGGUUCGCGAGUUGGCGCUCGAUUUUUGGGUUCGCACGGACUUGAAGCCAGUAGACGGCAAACGAGUGCUGAUACAGAUCAUGGAAGGCCAGCGCGAGGACGUCGGCCAGUUGUUUCAGUUGAGCCUCAACUGGUACGAGGACAUGCCAGACUCGGUCCGAGUCAUCAUUCGCGACUCCGCCAACCGAGUACUGGAGGCGGUGGCAUCUGUGGCGAAAGCAGGCCUUACCGACGGCACGAAUUUCCACCACUUGAUGUUACGCGUUCACAGUUUAGAGGAGGGACAGUUGUCGUGCGAGGUGGACGGGCGGUUCAUUGACAUUCAGCUCAUUCAGCAAGAGCACCCCAUCGCCUUCAACCCAUGGUCGCAUCGCCUCUUUGUGGGCGGCUACCUUGACGAGGUGAACGCGCCAGCCUUGGUGUUUCGUGGUGUCAUUGCGGAGCUGCGGUUCUGGUCAGGCGUCUUUCCUUCGCACCCCAUUGUCCGGUGGCCGCUCUUUGCCGUCGAGAACGGGACGCUGCAGGAAGUGACGCGCACGAUUCCUGCUGACCAUCACGAGACACUGUUGAACCUGCGCGCUGUGGAGGAGCCGUCACCGCGCAGCGCUCCGUCGUUUGACGGCAACCUAGUCAUGAACGUCGGAACGCUGCCGCUUUUCGGCCCUCUCAUGCACAACUGGCGAAUCGAGUUGUGCUUCCGCACGGAUGUCUCGUCGCGGAUGAUGACGCUCUUGGGUGUGACGGACAGCAACUUCCAAAUGCAAGAGUUCGGUAUCGUGCUGAACUCGGAACCAGUCAUCACAAAGGAGCGGCUACGCUACCACGAGCUUCACACGACCUUCUACGUUGUGGACGCGUUCGGUGCUUGCUGCUCUGCGCUACUCCGCGGCACCGAGCGGCAGAACUUGAUGGAUGGCGAGUGGCACAAGCUCGUGUGGCGGUGCAUUGACAGUGAAGCAAACAAGUUCAGUGUCAAGGUGGAUGAUGUGCUGCAGGAUCUGCUCUUCGUGUCGAGGGAGGGCCCGACGCGGUUCGUGAGCUACGACAACUGGAUCGCGGUCGGCGGACACAACGUACGUAACUGGAAGAUUCAACGCCCUUUCACAGGCCAGAUCGACCAUUUCUACCUCUCCUUGCGUGGAUACCCGUACGUUACGCUGGAGAUGAACGAGGGUCCCGGCGCUUACGUGCUGCAGGACCGCUCUCAUCACCACAACCACGGGCUGCUCAUCAACUCCGCGACGAACGUCGUGCGCCGCAACGACGUGGUUUGGAUUCCCGGCCCCGCCGACAAGUCCCAAGACCUCGAUCACGGCGCCUUGCCUGACAUGCGGAUCUUUAAGAGCAACGACGUUUCCGUUGCGGCGGUGGUGUUCACGUGCACGUUCGACGAGGAGAACAUUGCGCGCGAGACGCUGUAUGACGUGCUGUCCGGGAAGUUCCGUGAGCUCGAGCGCACACCGCACAUUCUCCCUGAACACACAGAGACGCAGUGGAGGUCGUGGUACGGACUUUCUGCGGAGUGCUACCACGCAUUCGACAGUGUGACGCGGCUGGAGGAAUCCAUCAACACAGUACUGAGGGCAACUGCGCCGCGGGGGCACUUGCUGAUCACCGUGCGCAUCGGUGACUGCCUUGCUUCCGUACUUCACAUCCGCGAGCCUGAGCGGCCGGCUGACGCGGUGUACGACUGCAACAUGCUGAGGUGGCACUACCCGUACAUGGUCGAGGGAAUGCGGGGCCGGCGCGAGCUCAUGCUGAAUCGCAUGAUCGAAGGUGCGGAGUCGGUGCUCCUCAGCGUCACGUUGAAGCCGUACGUUACUGCCAAGUUGGGGCCGCUGAAUUCCGGGCCCAGGUCCGUACUCACCGACGACAUCAUUCGCAGCCUGCAGAACAGCGGACGACCGUGGUUCUUGCCUGCGGUGCUUCACGCGCAUCUGCUGAAUGCUGAAUUCGGCUCGACGCUGCAUCUGAUUCAGCGCGUACGCCCGCAUAUGUCGGCGAACGAAGCGGCAGCUGUCUCUCUCUUCAACAAGAAGCUGUUUGACGGCGUGCGCGAGAACGCUGCACUGUUGAUUCAGCGAAACUGGCGUGGCUGCCUAGGGAAGCGCGAGGCCGCGCGGCGAAGCGAGCAGCGCAGCUUGAACGACCGAAAGGUGGAGGAAAUCCGCACGCUUCGUAUGAAUGCGGCCGUCAAGACGAAGGGGUCGCUAUGCGCGCUGCUCAUAACGUUGCAUCAUCCGCGGUGUCCCGGCGUGCCGGCCAUCGACGGCGACACAAGACCGCUCGAGGAGGCGCUCCGACAGCAAGGCUACGAGGUGACGACGCUGGAGGACCCCGACAUGGCAACGAUGCUACGUGCCGUCUCGCAGACAGAUACGACGAAGUCCAACUUCAUCUACGUUAGCGGCUACGGUGGUGCACUGGGCCUUCGUCAGCCACCGGUCUUUGGGUUAGAGUCGUUGGCAGUGUACAUCGAGGAGCAGGCGCAGCGGGCAACCUUGGAAAGCGGCGAAAGCGGCGCGUUCCGUCAGCUAAUGGCGCAAAUGGAGGAGGAGAAGGCCAGGGUGCCAGCCAAGAAGCCGAAGAAAAAAGCGAAGAAGGCUUCUGCGACUGCUCGGCCGAAGAAGAAGACGGCGGAGGAGGUCGAGCUUGAGCAGCGUGAAUUUGAAAGUGCACUACGCUCUCACUGCCAGCAAAUGGAGCAGGAGGAGUCGUGUGCGCGGGACAACCUUGUUGGCGAGUGGGAAACGAUGAACCAGCUGCUGUCGCGUGAGCUGCGACGUGCAGUCGCCGUCACACGGGAGUACGAGGAGCGCUACAAAGCGAAGGGGCCUGAAGGCGGCGCACAGAGCUACGUCUACCCGUGCGAGUCGCACAUGAUUGAGCCCUUCGCCACGACCGUGGUGGAUGUGGAGGAUGUCAUCGGUGCUGCGCUGCACCGACAGGCCCCACCACUAGGCCUGCAAUGCGUCGUCGCUGUCGACCUCCAGCCGGUGACGCCGUACUCGUGUGGCAUGGCGUGCCUCGCCAGCAGUACCGGAAACACGUUCCGGGUGCCUUACCGGCCGCAGCAACGAGAGCUCCUGUCACUGAUCCUCGUAAAAGCUUUUAAUGGACAGCUGCCGAAGGUAUCGGCCACUUUCAAGUAUGCUAUUCUCUCCGGUGGCAUUGAAACAGCUGCGAAUGAGCGGGACUGGAAGUCGUUUGCGUCGUAUGUGGUUGGGAAGCUGCAACGCUACUGCUCUCCCGAGUGCUGCCGGCCGCUGCGUGACGAGUUAGAUCGGCAUGUUCCCUUUGUCGCGGAGUUGGUGCCUGUGCGCGAUAUUGUCAUGGACGCCGAGGCGAGGGAUCGUCGGCGUCGCGAACGGGAAACACAGAAGGUGAAGGCGCAAGUGACAUUUGGCGUUGGCAGCGCGAAGGUGCAGAGCGAUAUGUUUUCCCUCUUCCGAGACUUCCUGGAGGGUGUUACAGUUAGCGAUCUUGUCUUUGCCAACACAAUUUGCAUUCUCUUAACCCAUCACAACAAAGGAAUUGAUGGGAUUCAAGUUGAGGAUGUUACGGAUGCGCUGGAGAAGUGCCGCCCUUCCGCGUGCACUUUGGCAUUUGAGGUCCGAGUGACUGCCGGUGGUGUGGAGGUGCAGUUCAAGGCGUCCGACGCAGGGGACAGGCUUCUCCUUAGUCAGUGGCUCAACGCGCUCUCCUUGCGCAGUCUGACGUGGCAGUUCCGCCAGCGACCGCUCUUUGGAACCUCACGGCUGGAAGUUGACUACAUCGAGCACCUGUACGAUGCCAAGAUUGCAUGUAGUGCUCGCCGCUACCGGCAGCUGUGCAAGCAGUUCGACGCGUUUCCUGUGCCGAAACCGUACGUUCGCUUCGUGCGAACCCGCGUGUCGAAGUCGCCAAAGCAGAACUGAGGCCCGCAGGGAAGGUUCGUGGGAUGCUGAUGCAUUGCUCAGUCGUUCCUCUCUGCUUUGAGUUUCUUUUUUUUUGCUGAGGCUGCCGUGCACUUCACGAUUCUCCGCCCAACGAGGAGCGUGUCAGCGUUAUGUAAAGUGUGGUACAGUCGCUUUGCUUUGGUGUGUUUCUCUUUCCCUGGCGCAGGCACGCGCGUAUGCGUCUACGCAUGUGUGUACGUGUGUAUCGGCUGUCGUUUCUCUACCGAGACCAGUAGAGAAGUAGCCCUGCGAUUGAGUGAGGAUAGCCUUUUGCAAGUAUCAGGCGCUUCUCCUUGUCUUACUGGUGCGGUGCUGCGGUUUCUUACUUUGUUUUCGCUUCAGCCAUGUACAGAACUCCCUCACCACAGAGAGGUGUUUCAUGAUGAUUCUCCACGAUGUUUC